rnacentral:rRNA from 1 species
CUUGUACACACCGCCCGUCACACCAUGAGAGUUUGUAACACCCGAAGCCGGUGGCGUAACCUUUUAGGGAGCGAGCCGUCUAAGGUGGGACAAAUGAUUAGGGUGAAGUCGUAACAAGGUAGCCGUAGGAGAACCUGCGGCUGGAUCACCUCCUUU